rnacentral:misc_RNA from 1 species
GAUGAAGAACGCAGCGAAAUGCGAUAAGUAAUGUGAAUUGCAGAAUUCCGUGAAUCAUCGAAUCUUUGAACGCACAUUGCGCCCCCUGGUAUUCCGGGGGGCAUGCCUGUCCGAGCGUCAUUGCAACCUUCAAGCGCGGCUUGUGUGUUGGGUCUCGUCCCCCGUGGACGGGCCCGAAAGGCAGUGGCGGCGUCCCGACAUGGUGCCCGAGCGUAUGGGAAUCCUCUUCCGCUCGAAUCGGCCCAUGCGGCGCUGGUCGUAACCAAAUUUUUUACCGGUUGACCUCGGAUCAGGUAGGGAUACCCGCUGAACUUAAGCAUAUCAAUAACGGAGGA